AGCUUUGCACAGUGGCAGUAUCGUAUCCAAUGAGGUUUAUCCGAGACGCAACUAUUGCCAGUUGAAAACUUUUCCCAAUACUUUGCCAUGAUGACUGGAAAUAUAGUUGGCAUUGGCAAUUUUUGGCAGUCUGUAUAGG
ensembl:snRNA U4 U4 spliceosomal RNA